rnacentral:rRNA from 1 species
GAUGAACGCUGGCGGCGUGCCUAACACAUGCAAGUCGAGCGAACAGACCAGAGUGCGUGCACUCUCUGACGUUAGCGGCGGACGGGUGAGUAACACGUGGGUAACCUACCUAUAAGACUGGGGUUACUUCGGGAAACCGGAGCCAAUACCGGAAAAUAUCUAGCUUCGCAUGGAGCAAUAGUGAAAGACGGUUCUGCUGUGACUGAUAGAUGGACCCGCGGUGUAUUAGCUAGUUGGUGAGGUAACGGCUCACCAAGGCAACUAUACAUAGCCGACCUGAGAGGGUGGUCGGCCACCCUGGGACUGAGACACGGACCAGACUCCUACGGGAGGCAGCAGUAGGGAAUCUUACGCAACGGAGGAAAGUCUGACGGAGCAAUGCCGCGUGAGUGAAGACGGUUCUCGGAUCGUAAAGCUCUGUUGUAAGGGAAGAACUAGUACGUUAGUAACUGAACGUACAUUGACGGUACCUUAACAAAAAGCACCGGCUAACUACGUG